UAGGGAAUCUUCGGCAAUGGACGGAAGUCUGACCGAGCAACGCCGCGUGAGUGAAGAAGGUUUUCGGAUCGUAAAGCUCUGUUGUUAGAGAAGAACGUUGGUAGGAGUGGAAAAUCUACCAAGUGACGGUAACUAACCAGAAAGGGACGGCUAACUACGUGCCAGCAGCCGCGGUAAUACGUAGGUCCCGAGCGUUGUCCGGAUUUAUUGGGCGUAAAGCGAGCGCAGGCGGUUCUUUAAGUCUGAAGUUAAAGGCAGUGGCUUAACCAUUGUACGCUUUGGAAACGGGAGGACUGGAGUGCAGAAGGGGGGAGGGGAAUUCCAUGGGUAGCGGGGAAAUGCGUAGAUAUAUGGAGGAACACCGGUGGCGAAAGCGGCUCUCUGGUCUGUAACUGACGCGGGGGCUCGAAAGCGUGGGGAGCAAACAGG
rnacentral:rRNA from 1 species